GUGCUCACUUCAGCAGCACAUAUACCAAGACUGGGACAAUAGAGAUUAGCAAGGCCUCUCUGCAAAGAUGGCAAAUAAACUUGUAAUGCAUUCCAAAUAUUU